AUUGAACGCUGGCGGCAGGCCUAACACAUGCAAGUCGAGCGAGCGGCGGACGGGUGUGUAAUGUCUGGGAAACUGCCUGAUGGAGGGGGAUAACUACUGUAAACGGUAGCUAAUAUCGCAUACUAUCAGAUGUGCCCAGAGGGGAUUAGCUAGUAGGUGGGGUAACGGCUAACCUAGGCGACGAUCCCUAGCUGGUCUGAGAGGAUGACCAGCCACACUGGAACUGAGACACGGGCCAGACUCAUACGGGAGGCAGCAGUGGGGAAUAUUGCACAAUGGGCGCAAGCCUGAUGCAGCCAUGCCGCGUGGGUGAAGAAGGCCUUCGGGUUGUAAAGCACGUUUAGCGGGGAGGCGUUACCCGAAGAAGAAGCACCGGCUAACUCCGUGCCAGCAGCCGCGGUAAUAC
rnacentral:rRNA from 1 species